GAUGAAGAACGCAGCGAAAUGCGAUACUUGGUGUGAAUUGCAGAAUCCCGUGAACCAUCGAGUCUUUGAACGCAAGUUGCGCCUCAAGCCAUUAGGUUGAGGGCACGUCUGCCUGGGCGUCACAUAUCGUUGCCUGAUGCCAGUUUCCUCGUGAUGGGUGACUGUGCAGGGCGAAUGAUGGCUUCCCGUGAGCAUUGUUGCCUCAUGGUUGGUUGAAAAUUGAGUCCUUGGUAGGGAGCGCCGUGAUAGAUGGUGGUUGAGUGACGAACGAGACCCAAUCAUGUGAGACCCCUACCGAAUUUGGCCUUCAUGACCCACAUGCGUCUUUGGAACGCUCAUGACGAGACCUCUGGUCAGGCGGGGCUACCCGCUGAGUUUAAGCAUAUCAAUAAGCGGAGGA
rnacentral:misc_RNA from 1 species